UAAAAGCAGCUUUGGAUGGUAUGUUUCUUAAACAUGGUUUGUCGAUGUCUAAAUUGAGAGGGCAAGGGUACGAUGGAGCUUCUAACAUGAGAGGGCAAUUUCAUGGGCUUCAAAGGUUGAUCCUAGAUGAAAAUCCUUAUGCAUUUUAUAUUCAUUGCUUUGACCAUCAGUUGCAGUUAGUGGUUGUUGUUGUUGUCAAGUGUUGUUCCUCUCUAUUGAAUUUCUUUAACCACAUAACUUUGAUUGUCAACACCGUUAAUGCUUCUUGUAAGAGACAUGAUGAACUAGCCCAAGAACAACAUGAUAAUAUUGUCAGUCAAUUGGAGUCUUGGGAAAUUUUUUCAGGAAGAGGGAAAAAUCAAGCAACCAAUCUUGUAAGACGUGGGUCACACGGUGGGGCACACAUCAUAAAACUUUUGUCGGUUUAUUGUGAUGUGGACAUCUGUUUUACAUAUAUUAGAGAACGUUCAUCAUGAUGCAGAAAAUUUAACGCAAAGAACCACAACAGGUGUCCAAGGAACACAUUUGCUAGCAUUUUGUUGUAUAUCAUAUAUACCAUUGGGAGGGCCGUUUUGGCCAUAUGCUCUCUAAUGAACAGUAAAUUCAUAAUAAUAGUAAAUUAAAAGUAAAAUUUUGAUAUUUUUAGAUGUUCUCGUGAGUCUAACAAACGUGCUUGAGAAUUUUCAUGCGAAACGGGAUGACGGUCCUUCGUCGGUAAAAGAAAAUGUAACAUUUGUCGUUCAACUUUUUUUUGAUAAAUCAAAAUACUUAAAUUUCCCUCCUAAAAUUUUGCAGGUAGCAUUUUAAUGUGACAAUGAACACAUUUAUUUUUGAAUAAUCUUUUUUGACACCGCAAAAAGCUUUUUGGGUGGACAGGAGCAUAUGCUCCCAAAGCCGAAUUGGAUUUCCAAGAUACCAUCGUGCAAUUUUAUCUUGUAAACGUGUAGGUACCUUUUAAAACAUUUGGAACCUUUCUGUGCUCCUGUGGGAAGCAGAGUUGUUGUGAAAUUCUUGUUCUUCAGACAUGCCUUACGAAUCGCUUAUAUGCUUCCUGACACCAACCUACACGUGUGCUGGAUCGUUUGACGAUUUGUUGUUAAUAACUCCGCAUCACAUGGCCGUCCAGCAUACCCUGACACGAUCUUCGAUUUUCUUUUGAAUAUAAUAAAACGUGUAUGCAUACUCUAGCUUGCACAUCUCACGCACGAGCGGCGGGAGAGCAAGGCUACCAAAACUGGAUCUCUCGUUAAAAAUUGGGUUAGUGUCCAAAUGUGAUCACAAAAAGAUAUCGCUAUCGCAGCGACCCGGAUUUCAUACUUUACCACACCUACUAGCUGAUUAGCCUGCUGUCAGUAGAGCACAAUCAUGUUGCUAAUUCAAGAUGCGUUUGGGCCCGAAGUGAUUAGGAACUAGUGGAGCAUGUGCCAACAAGUGAGCCAAGUGUAAAUCACUAUAUAUUUAGCAUGCUAGAUACGUUAUCACAUUAAGUAUUUCAAAGCUCUUGGUUACAUUAUGGUCAACCUGAUUCAUGAGGACGAGCAGGAGAGCCCUUUAUAUACCCCCUGUUCAUUACUAGGUGGGAGCUAGAGAUCAUAAGCAAACCACCAUUUGUUGUUGAGGGAGCUGGUCAAAAUACUGCAGUUCAUGUUACCAAGGGCAUUUCUAACCGAUCCCCUAUCCGGUGUCAGUGAGGGUUAAAUUAGAUUUCACUUUUUUAUACUGUAACUAGUCGAUCCCCUAAAACGUACUGUAUAAGAGAGGAUAGACUUUACUCUGACCCACACGUCGAAGGAGUAAAUAUAGAAUUUUUGUCCAAAAGGAUCCCCUCUCGAACCGAUUUGCCAGAAAAGACCACACGCGGGAGCUAAAGUCCAAAAGGACCCCCUCCUCGCGUGGCGGCAGGCGCGCCAGGCGGCACGUGGCACCUGUCGCCACCACCCGAGGCGGCUGGGGCCUGCCGCCACCACCCCAGGCGGCCGGCGUUGGUUUCCGUUCCUGCCACGCCGCGACGCAACGGGCUGUAAUAUGGUGGGCCCUGCCGCCACCACCCCAGUCGGCCGGCCAAAUCUCCGCGCGCUACGACAGCGACGUUGAUUGUGCUGACUCCGAGGCUGCUGUCUCCUGCUGGUGGGCAUUGCCAUGCAAACGGCGCUAACUUCCGGCACUGACGGCGCUAACUCUCACCGACAAAACAGUGCACAUUAUCUUCUUUAUAUAGCGACGCUGCCUCCUCUCUCACUCUCCCGUUGCCUCCUUUCUCUUGCUUCAGCACACGCAACAGCUCCUCUUUCUCACUCUCUUCUCUUUCUCUCAAGAACUACUUCAUACACAUUUGAAGUGCCGAUUUAGGACGGUUUUAAAUUGGAUUUUGAAGAUGUCGUAGUUGAGUAAAAGAUAGAUCAAGCUGAAGAACACACUCCUUUCUUCACUUUGAUUCAAGAUUUCUGGUCUUUUGGGUUGGAUUUCGAAUAUGUUGCAGUUGAAAGAAAGAUAGAUCAAGGUCGAAUUCGCUGAUAUUAUACUGGUGAUAACUUAACUGUGAUAUUCGGAAGGAUAUUUUUGUAUUCGUAAGGAUAUCCUUAUCAAACCAGAGGUAUUAUGGAAAAUUUGUUAGUGUUUUAUGGGCACAUCGUACGUGAGGGUCCUUCUGGUGUGGAUGUGUCUAGGUGCGGGAUGACUACGGUUGUAGUGAAAGACAUGGUUAAUGUAGAGUAUGCGACAGUUAGAAGGUGCAUCCGAGCGGUGUUUGGUUCAGCGAUGAAUGGAAAAAAAAUGACCAUGGAGGCUUUCGUGGUUGAGGGAGGAAAUCGUUGGGUUCUGCGUCGAGUUACUGGUGAAAGAGCAUGGGCGUCGUACAUGGGUUUUGCAAGCAAUCCCAAUAACUCCAUGUAUGGACAACCCAUGGUUUAUGUGGAGUUCAUUUUUGCCAGUGAUGUCGCCGAGUGCAGUAGCGGUGCCGGUGAGGCCGAGUUGGCCAUAAC